rnacentral:rRNA from 1 species
GACGAACGCUGGCGGCGUGCCUAAUGCAUGCAAGUCGAGCGACGCACGAGUGCGGGUAACCAAACUCGUGACGGAGCGGCGAACGGGUGAGUAACACGUGAGCAACCUGCCCCGAAGACCGGGAUAGCCCGGGGAAACCCGGAUUAAUACCGGAUAUCCUCUCAGGACCGCAUGAUCCUCCGAGGAAAUGGAUUCCGCUUCGGGAUGGGCUCGCGACCUAUCAGCUUGUUGGUGAGGUAACGGCUCACCAAGGCGUCGACGGGUAGCUGGUCUGAGAGGACGACCAGCCACACUGGGACUGAGACACGGCCCAGACUCCUACGGGAGGCAG